rnacentral:rRNA from 1 species
UGGGGAAUAUUGCACAAUGGGGGAAACCCUGAUGCAGCGACGCCGCGUGAGCGAAGAAGUAUUUCGGUAUGUAAAGCUCUAUCAGCAGGGAAGAAAAUGACGGUACCUGACUAAGAAGCCCCGGCUAACUACGUGCCAGCAGCCGCGGUAAUACGUAGGGGCAAGCGUUAUCCGGAUUUACUGGGUGUAAAGGGAGCGUAGACGGCAAGGCAAGUCUGAUGUGAAAGGCUGGGGCUCAACCCCGGGACUGCAUUGGAAACUGUCCUGCUGGAGUGCCGGAGAGGUAAGCGGAAUUCCUAGUGUAGCGGUGAAAUGCGUAGAUAUUAGGAGGAACACCAGUGGCGAAGGCGGCUUACUGGACGGUAACUGACGUUGAGGCUCGAAAGCGUGGGGAGCAAGCAGGAUUAGAUACCCUGGUAGUCCCUGAGACUCCCAA